rnacentral:rRNA from 1 species
CAGUAGCCGCGGUAAUACCGAGGGUGCGAGCGUUAAUCGGAUUUACUGGGCGUAAAGCGUGCGUAGGCGGCUUUUUAAGUCGGAUGUGAAAUCCCUGAGCUUAACUUAGGAAUUGCAUUCGAUACUGGGAAGCUAGAGUAUGGGAGAGGAUGGUAGAAUUCCAGGUGUAGCGGUGAAAUGCGUAGAGAUCUGGAGGAAUACCGAUGGCGAAGGCAGCCAUCUGGCCUAAUACUGACGCUGAGGUACGAAAGCAUGGGGAACAAACAGGAUUAGAUACCCGCGUAGUCCCUGUCUCUUAUAC